rnacentral:rRNA from 1 species
CACGUAGGUGGCGACGUAAGUCGGGUGUGAAAGCCCCGGGCUCAACCUGGGAAUUGCAUUCGAGACUGUGUUGCUGGAGUACGGAAGAGGAGGGCGGAAUUCCCGGUGUAGCGGUGAAAUGCGUAGAUAUCGGGAGGAACAUCAGUGGCGAAGGCGGCCCUCUGGUCCAGUACUGACACUCAAGUGCGAAAGCGUGGGGAGCAAACA